GUGAGUGGACAGAAAAAAGAACCAAAGACGGUUAGCUGACAGAAAAAUAGGAAGAUGCAACCAAGAGAAGAUACCUGCCCCGAAACCCGAGUACCUAGGAGACUGCUCUACUCUGAAGAAGGCUUCAUGCAGCCCAGGUGAGGCCGCUGAGUACUGUUGAGAAGGCAGUUGAAGUUGCCGCCAGUGACCCUCUGCAGAAAAU